UUCUUCACACAACAAACUGUGUGUGUUUUAUUAAAGUCAGUGUGUAAUGUUUUCCUGGCUAACAUCAGCUGUGUGCAGCUUAGUUCCAGCACAAACACCACAAAUCUGCCGCUCCAUAGUUCAGGGUAACGGACUCACAGCGUAUGUGAUGGGGCCACAGCUCAGCUGCAGUGUAUUUAUCGCCUUUACCUUAUUUACUUUACUGUCAUUGUAAUUAAUAUUUACACAGACACCAGAGUUCUAAGGCUAGUCAGACAGCAGGCUAACCCUAAGCUAACGCUAAGCUAGCCAAGAACCCAGAGUGAUGUUAAAGCUGAGUAAAUACUUCUCUCUUUGGCUCUUAGCGAAAGCGGUCGCACUUUUCUUCUCUCCCUUCCCUUAUCUUCCCUGCUUAGACUCUUGUGUCGUUGUCUAGUCUCGUCUAUUUUUACUCUUUCCCUGGAACACUCUCUCACAGUCUGUUCUCUAAAACCUAAAAGACAAAUUAUGGAUUUGAUCAGCUGGUCCCUGAAUGCAAUUGACACCCUCUUCUCAACGACAAACCUGGGCUCGGGUGAGCCUGACUGUCCUGGAGGUACUUUCCCUGCUGGAUACAUGAUGGACGGGUGGCAUAACUGGAGGGUCAUGUGCCUGGCGGGACUGUCGAUCGAGGACAUUGAAGACAUCUACCUGUUCGGAACCAUGAUCAUAGGGUUCUUGCUUAUCGGACCUGGCUUGAUCCUGGCUUAUCGAAGAUUAAAGAAAGCGGUAUCGGCUGUUCAAAACCCCACUAGGCUGCCCGCUGUGAUUGAAACAAUGGGACGAGUCGUGAGGUCUCAAAAUGGGCUCAUUGAGCGCAGCACGGAUAAGAUCUUGGAGAAGCUUGAGGCUGCCGUGAAUACUCAGAAUAAGACCGCUGAGCGAAAAUUGGAUGACAUCUUGGAGAAGCUCACAGCGGUCAUGAGUUCUCAGAAUCUGCUCUUUGAGCGCAAGAUUGAUAACAUCAUGGAGAAGCUCAUGGCUCUCCAACGGGAGAUUGAGAGACCAGUUUUAGACUUUUCCUAUCAGCCUACCUCUCUGACAUGUCUUCCCCAUGUGAUGUUUGUGUAAUGGUCAGAAGGUUCCUGUGUAAGUGCACAUGUGCCAUUAGCGUGCUGCCUGCUGUAGCCCAUAAUUUCCUUCGGGAUUAAUAAAGUAUUCUGAUUCUGAUUCUGAUUUCACACAUCAAAGCCAACAUGCUGACCCUGCUAACCUAGACACCCUACAGUUUGCUUACUGCAGGAACAGAUCAACAGAGGAUGCAGUCUCAGUCACACUUCACACCAGCCUUACUCAUCUGGAGUAUCCCAAUACAUAUGUUAGGAUGCUAUUUGUAGACUUCCGCUCAGCAUUUAACACCAUUGUGCCAUACAAACUUGUAAACAAGCUGAUUGACCUGGGACUAACCAACACACUUUGCUCAUGGAUUUUGGAUUUCCUCACAAAUAGGCCACAGGAGGUCAGAAUGGGCACAUCAUCUGCUAUCACCAUUAACACAGGAGUACCGCAGGGCUGCGUUCUUAGUCCAGCUCUUUUCACCGUAUUCACACACGACUGCAAACCCAUCCACUCCUCUUCUAACACCAUAGUGAAGUUUGCUGAUGACACUACAAUAGUGGGAAGGAUAUCAGCUACCUGCUGUAGCCCUAAUUCUGAUACUGACCCCAGACCAGCACCGUGAUAAAGUGAGCUGCUGCUGCUGAACCUGAACAGCUCCUUAGAUCACAUGACCUGGAUGACUGAACCUACAGACAUAAUGACCUGGUUUCUAGGUUACAUGACAGGUCAGAGGUCAGCGACUGUAACUCAGUUACUCCUGUUAAUGUGACUCACUGAGUGUUUGUGGUUUACCUCUCGGACUGACUGAAGAUGAUGAUGGAGGAAGAGGAGAACAGAGCAGAAUCUGCAGGAUCCAGCUGUUCGUGUGUGAGGAGUGACCGGUCCAAAGAACUGAAUCCUCUAGACUUCAGUGGUGAACCUGGACCAACGAGAGGUCAGAGGUCACAGUCUGCAGAGUCCAGCUGUCCAUCUGUGAGGAGUGACCGGUCCAAAGAUCACCCUCUACACUUCAGUGGUGAACCUGGCCCAACGAGGUCAGGGAGCUGUGAUGACUCCUUUACAUGUUUGUGUUUCCUGGAUAAAUCUGACCUGAAACAU